rnacentral:rRNA from 1 species
AGUGAACGCUGGCGGUAGGCCUAACACAUGCAAGUCGAACGGCAGCACAGUAAGAGCUUGCUCUUACGGGUGGCGAGUGGCGGACGGGUGAGGAAUACAUCGGAAUCUACUUUUUCGUGGGGGAUAACGUAGGGAAACUUACGCUAAUACCGCAUACGACCUACAGGUGAAAGCAGGGGAUCUUCGGACCUUGCGCGAUUGAAUGAGCCGAUGUCGGAUUAGCUAGUUGGCGGGGUAAAGGCCCACCAAGGCGACGAUCCGUAGCUGGUCUGAGAGGAUGAUCAGCCACACUGGAACUGAGACACGGUCCAGACUCCUACGGGAGGCAGCAGUGGGGAAUAUUGGACAAUGGGCGCAAGCCUGAUCCAGCCAUACCGCGUGGGUGAAGAAGGCCUUCGGGUUGUAAAGCCCCUUUGUUGGGAAAGAAAAGCAGCAGGUUAAUACCCCGCUGUUCUGACGGUACCCAAAGAAUAAGCACCGGCUAACUUCGUG